rnacentral:lncRNA from 1 species
UUCAAUUCGGAUAUGUUAUAUAUAUAUUAAUAACAAAUAAAGAAAAAUACUGUAUUGUAAGAACAUAGCUGAGACCUUAAUAAAGACUAAAUAUAAGAAAAAAAUUAGCGACAUGUAGAAAAUAUUUUGAAAUACAAAUGUUGUUUGUUUCUCAGGAAAAAACAUUGCUUACAAUCCUAUACACACCAAAUUACCUUACGAAAUACAGAUGAUAAAAUUGCGCAGUGUGUGAGUAAUCUGUCAAAACAACCUGAUUUAUGAUUUUUAGAUUUUUUAUGUUUUGUCGUUGAAUAUCCUGUUAGACAGUGUAUAUAAACCACGUUUUAGAGGAUGUAGUCAUUGUUUGAAUUGUGCACCUUGUUAUCAACAGAUUCACGUAUUACUGCGUAAAAAUAUGUUAUUGAACUUAAUGACAAUAGCGGCGUUGUGUUUGACCUCCGCCUCGACCUGCGCCAUCAAAGGACAAGACUCCCACAAGUUCACCACCCCCAACGUCUGAACCACCUAUGAAUGUAUACCAGUCCGCUGUUUUUGUAUGUGGGGACUAUGUUUACCAGGAUAAUGUUGCUAUGUUAUUUCCUCCAGCACACUAUUCACUACCAAAUAUUGUAAAUGCGACGCGUGCAAAAAUAGUUUUCACUCAGAGUAAUCGGAACUUCUGUGACAAGCUUGAUAUAUAUGCAAUCUGUGUUGAAACCUUAGUAAGCCGUAAGUUUAGUCCAGUUGACAGCGUGGUCAGUGACUAUAUUAACUUCAAUAAUUUUCACACGGCUUUAAAUGCUUAUUGCGCUAACAAUACAUUGGUCAGAGACCAGUUCAUGUGUACAAAAAGGUAUACGGAAACGAACAGUUGUCCAUACGGAGGAAUAGUUGGUAUGAUAAAAUCUAUUGCCAUGGCAAUACAAAACCGGGUUUCUAAACAACAGUACUGUUCAGAUUUGCAAGCGUCUAUACGGUGCCGGGUUGACAAGCAGUUGAAACCAUGUAACACAAAAUAUGCCGAACUGAUGGAAUACUGUUUACACGAGUCUAGCAUCCUGCCAAAACAUUUAAUAAAUCGAAAGAUUUAUUUGAAAAACAAACCCUUGCCUAGUUAAGCCAGACGCUAUAAGAACAACAUAUAUAUAUAUAUAUGACAAAAAAGAACUAUUGGGUUAAUAAAAAGAAAUCAGUAUAGACACAGUAAUACAGACAACUUUAAAGAUCCCCUUUGGUAACAUCUGGUAUUUCAUAAAUUAAAGGUUAAACGUUAAUAACUUUUCAAAUCGUAGUCUUUACUUUAAGGUCCUUUGAACAUUGAUUGCUUCGUUAUAGUAAAAUGAUACAUUUGUAUUAUGAUUGUUUACGUUGUAAAGGAAAAUAAACUAUCAUAUGUUAACAUGAAUGCAUCUUUGAAAAAACAAAUGAAAAUAAAGUGGUUUUCCAUUUGA